rnacentral:rRNA from 1 species
GAUGAACGCUGGCGGCGUGCCUAAUACAUGCAAGUCGAGCGAACGGACGAGAAGCUUGCUUCUCUGAUGUUAGCGGCGGACGGGUGAGUAACACGUGGAUAACCUACCUAUAAGACUGGGAUAACUUCGGGAAACCGUAGCUAAUACCGGAUAAUACUUUGAACCGCAUGGUUCAAAAGUGAAAGACGGUCUUGCUGUCACUUAUAGAUGGAUCCGCGCUGCAUUAGCUAGUUGGUAAGGUAACGGCUUACCAAGGCAACGAUGCAUAGCCGACCUGAGAGGGUGAUCGGCCACACUGGAACUGAGACAUGGUCCAGACUCCUACGGGAGGCAGCAGUAGGGAAUCUUCCGCAAUGGGCGAAAGCCUGACGGAGCAACGCCGCGUGAGUGAUGAAGGUCUUCGGAUCGUAAAACUCUGUUAUUAGGGAAGAACAUAUGUGUAAGUAACUGUGCACAUCUUGACGGUACCUAAUCAGAAAGCCACGGCUAACUACGUG